UCCUAGCCCCGAUUGUAGAGAAAAUCCUUUUUUGAAAAAAAAGAUUGCAACGGAAAGCGGGAAAUAGC
rnacentral:sRNA from 1 species